GUAGUUUCCAACACUUCUAUACAUGUUUGUAUACAGGGGGGUAUAUCUUUCAGCCAGUUCCUACUUAUGACGGUUAAUGCUGUAAUAAUUAUAUGAUAUGCCAGGUAUUCAUUCGGUUUCUGUAGUGUUUUGGGCCAUAUGAGUAACAGAUAAGUUAGUGGGGUGUGUGGUAGCUUGACGCCUGUGGUAUACUCUAUGAGGCUUGAGACGUCUAACCAAAAUUUUUUCAAUUUCGCACAUCCCCACCAGAUAUGGGUCAUAGACCCAGGCUCCGCGCUACAUCGCCAGCAUGUAUCUGGUUUGGUAGAAUCUAUCCUGUGUAGCUUUGAGGGCACCAUAUACCACCGAUAUAGAAGCUUCCUGCUUAAUUCUAUGUGUGCUGUGUUUAAUGUGAGCGUUUUAUGUGCUCUCCGGGUCUGAAGCCAUUCGUCAGGCGUCAGUGUGUGGUCUAGUUCCUUUUCCCAUGUUUUAAUAAAGUUAGGUUUUUCUGUGUUUGUGUUGUGUUCAAGCAAUCGAUAUAGGGUGGAUAGUAGUCGUGGUGGUGGCUUGCCCGCCAUGCAUAAGAUUUCUAUCUCAUUGAGUACAUAACCCCGUGUCUGGGAGUUGUCAUAGUGUUUGGUUGCCCAUGAUUUCAGUUGUAGGUAGGAAAAAAAGAGUGUGGAGGGUAGAUUGUAUUUGUUGCGUAGCGAGUCGUAGUCGCUUAUAUGUCCGUUUGUCAGUAUCUGUGAUAUAUAGGACACUCCAAGGGAGUUCCAGGUUUUGUAGUCAAAUCCUGGAAUCAAAACAUUUAGUGCCCGGAGUUGAAGGUUUGGGGAGAAUUGCGCUUUUUUGUUUUUGUUUUUGACCAGGUUGUCCCAUAUUUUGAGUGUAGCCAUAGUGGUUGGGCAUAUGUUUUUAUAUUGUGGCCUUCUGUCCCUAGGUAUCCAGGCUAGGGUGUGUAGUGGCAUGCUCUCGGUGUAUGCCGCUUCUAUUUGGGUCCAUGCAAGUGGCGUUUUGUGGUGGUAUGUGUUUAUCAGUGUACUUAUCAUAGCUGCCUCAUAAUAUCUUGUGAUGUUUGGGACCCCCAUUCCUCCCAGUUUGAAGGGUUUGUAUAGAAUCUCUGCUGCUGUUCUGGCUUUUUUCCCACCCCAUAUAAAUUUAUUUAGGGAGCGCUGAGCGUCUAUGAGAAAUAAUUUUGGGAGAGCUAUUUGUAGGGUUCUGAAAAGGUAUUGUAGACGUGGCAGUAUCAUCAUUUUUGCCGCUGCGAUUCUGCCCAUCCACGACACAUAUUUCCCCUUCCAGCCCUGCAUUUGAUUGUUUAUCUCCCGGAGGAGCUUCUCAUAGUUGGCCUGGUACAGUUUACGCGUGGUUGGCGUGAGUGAUAUGCCUAGAAAGGUGAGGUGGUCACGCCUCCAGUCAUA